UGCUUUGCCCAGUGGCAGUUUCAGAACCAAUGAGGUUUAUCCGAGGUGCGAUUAUUGCUAAUUAAAAACAUCAUGCUAAAAAA
rnacentral:snRNA from 1 species